UUAAAUGAAUUGAUUUAUAUUUUUUAAUAGCUAUAUAUAGCUAUUUUUGCUUGAUCGUAGACACACACAACAACAAACACACAAGCACAUAAGCAUCACAUUCCAGGAAGCCUAGUACUAGCGUCAUGAUCAUCACUAUAUUGUGUUGAUUUAGUGUUUAGCCAACUAUUUCUAGGGAAAUAUAUUGUUUUGCAUCCUUCUUCGAGUCAUUAAUUAAAGGGGAGGCCAGGGAGAAGUAUUAGACAAGAAUAAUUAAUUCGUGGUUAAUGAAAGCAUUACGUUAAAAAUGUUCGAUGGCAGUUAAUCAUUUGGAAAAUGAAGCAGGAAAUUUUAUAAAGAUUACAUUCCCCCGGCCGCCCCUAAUUGAUUAUUUUACUAAUGACUCACGUUAGAUCGGGCUGGGUCCGUGCCGGGUCCGGGCCGGAGCUUCCGGCGCUUCGUUGGAUGGAAAGCUUCACGUGAUCACCGUUCAUCUGUCAUAGAAAAGUAAGCUCCCAAAGGUCCUGCCCGGUCUAACGUUAGAUCCUUAAAUUCGAAAUAAUAUUGGAAUUUAUAUCCUAAGAGACUGAAAUGAGUGUUCUAAAGUAAAUUUCAAGGAUGUAUCUUAUUUAACGGUUUUUGAUACGUAUUUUUUCGCUUCAUUGACGGAUCGUUUAACAUUUUGUAUGUUCCGCUGAACUUAGGACAUUCGCGUAUACAAUUUUACAGUAGAACUAACUUCGAACGAGUUCUUCAAAUUACCCAGUUUCUAACCAAAAAAAGAAUUUGUGCUAACUAAAUAUCUAAAAUAUUGUUUCUAUUUCGUUUUCUGAGGCACGUAGUGCCAGAGCCAAGUUCAGUGUCUAAGUUUCCUUUAGAACGCUACGGAAAUGAUAAAUUGUUUAUCUGUUUCACUCGGGUCCAAUGUUUCGGUGAAAACAUUCGACUUUCGAAUAUUUAGUGCAUGCCUUCACAAACAUGCAAUAUUCACAAUCGAACACAGUGAAUUGAGAAGGCAUGCAAAAUGUUCUACUUUAUCCCUAAACGAAAUAUAUAUAUGCUUUAAGCAAGAAUAAAGUCUUGUUUGUAAAUGAGUAAUACUCAUCGUUAGUUAUAGAUAACAUAAAUCGCAUUUUAAAAUAUCUCUAUAGUGAAUAUUCAAUUCAAAAAGGGUUGCCGUGAUUUUAUUAGGGAAUGACAGACACCGAAGUGUGUCUGGAAGAGGCAUAUGAAUGUUUAUUUAAGUAUUCCAUACUCUAUGAUACGUUCGUCGAUGUGUUAGGUUAAGGAUAGUGUUACAGUACUAUAAUAUCUACAUUACAUUAGACGGUAAAUUAUUUAUUUCAAGCAUAGCUUCAGCUCAGAAUCUUGUGCUUGGAAAUUGUUGCCAAAGAUAUUUUAUAUAUUUUUAAGCGUCUUUAGUUAUUCGCAUAUUAUACUGUGGGUGCUGCAAUAAUUGAAUUGACAGUGAUGCAGGCAGUUUUACAGUUAUAUUUUACUAAUAUUUUCUCUGAUUUAUCGUUAGCCGCUUUAAAGUGGGCAACCGUGCCAAAAGUCAAAACCGCGACGGCGGCGGAGCUAGGCCACCCGCCAUCUCUUACUUAAGCUUCCAUAUUAAAUUGUAAAAAUAGCUUACUGUUCUUUGGCUGUUGAGGAAUAAAGCCAAACAGUUGAUGAUAAUAAAUGAUGAAUAUUCGCUAUUAGCGUCGCGUCAAAUUAUCAAUUUUCGAUAAACGUUAUAACAUUCCGCCGUGGCUUCGUAUUGUAUGAUUAUACCGUCAAUGGAAUAAAUAAUAUGUGAAACGCAUAAAUUAAUGUUUAGUAUUAUAAACAAUGUAUCAUUGUGUACAAUAAAUGUUGUGUUAACCAUUGAAAAAAAAUCUGUUCAUACAUAUAUAUGUAUUUAUGUAUCCUAAAACUAACAUUCAGACUAGAGGUUCCUUUAAGUACACGCCCUACCAACACCCUAGCCCUACCCCCUCUAUUCACUGUGAUAAAAUAAUUGUAAGAUUAAAGCAAAACAAUGAUAUGUAUUAAUAACAUUACUGUUUACGAAAAAAUAUUCCCACAUUUGUUUGUUCUGAAUUCUAAAAAAGUUAUUGUUUUCUACAUGUGUAUCACAGUGAAUAAUUUUCAUAUUCAAACCUGGUAUAUAAUUAUUGAUCAUUCGCUAAUAACACUCCAUCAAAACCAUUGUAAAUAUCAUUUAUGGGCUGAUUUUAUUUAUUAAAUAUUUUUAAACCAAUCUCAAGCGACACAGGCCCUACAUCUAAAUUUUAAUAUUAUUGUUUUUAAUAUUUAUCAUUACAUUGAAAUGUUUUAUAUUGAUAUAUUUUAAUUUAAUUACGACUGUGCUGUUUUAUAUCUCAUAUAUUUUAUACCAAUGUCUCUAAAUAAAAUGUGGACGGAAA